rnacentral:rRNA from 1 species
UACGUAGGGGGCUAGCGUUGUCCGGAUUUAUUGGGCGUAAAAGAGCGUGUAGGCGGCCAGGUAGGUCUGCUGUGAAAACUCGAGGCUCAACCUCGAGACGUCGGCGGAAACCAUCUGGGCUAGAGUCCGGAAGAGGAGAGUGGAAUUCCUGGUGUAGCGGUGAAAUGCGCAGAUAUCAGGAAGAACACCCGUGGCGAAGGCGGCUCUCUGGGACGGUACUGACGCUGAGACGCGAAAGCGUGGGGAGCGAACAGGG